rnacentral:rRNA from 1 species
UAGGGAAUCUUCCGCAAUGGACGAAAGUCUGACGGAGCAACGCCGCGUGAGUGAUGAAGGUUUUCGGAUCGUAAAACUCUGUUGUUAGGGAAGAAUAAGUACUAGAGUAACUGCUAGUACCUUGACGGUACCUAACCAGAAAGCCACGGCUAACUACGUGCCAGCAGCCGCGGUAAUACGUAGGUGGCAAGCGUUGUCCGGAAUUAUUGGGCGUAAAGCGCGCGCAGGCGGUCCUUUAAGUCUGAUGUGAAAGCCCACGGCUCAACCGUGGAGGGUCAUUGGAAACUGGGGGACUUGAGUACAGAAGAGAAGAGUGGAAUUCCACGUGUAGCGGUGAAAUGCGUAGAGAUGUGGAGGAACACCAGUGGCGAAGGCGACUCUUUGGUCUGUAACUGACGCUGAGGCGCGAAAGCGUGGGGAGCAAACAGG